AACCGCCCCAGCCCCCUAAAGUCUCUUUUGAUUGCCUUCAGGCUUCUGUCUUCAAUGUCGUCACUGCCCGCCUGGACUAUCAGAAGAGGAUAAUAGUCAGAGGGGCGUACCAGGUUGGGAAGCUUCCUGGCAACGUCCCUGACCCUGGCCCCAGGGAGGCAACAGACUUCCCUACGGUAGAGCGUAAACCUUUGGAGGAACGUGUCACAGGAAAGAGCUCCUUCUGGAACUGUUCAGCACUCGGUGAAACACAGUGUACUAUACGGGACUUGACGACCAGAGCUGCUUUUGGCAAGGUGUCUCGCACAGGCUGAGUGGGGCCAAGCUGCACUCUGAAGAGCAGCACGAGAAGGGCGGGCUGGUUGUGAGCUGGAUUGGAGCAGAACUGCCGAGUAGCACGAGGUGAGUGCGAAGGGUAUCCAUCUUGCUUUGCAGGUGCCAUGGCAGGCUCUCCACA
rnacentral:lncRNA from 1 species